rnacentral:rRNA from 1 species
UACGAAGGGGGCUAGCGUUGCUCGGAAUCACUGGGCGUAAAGCGCACGUAGGCGGGUUCUUAAGUCAGGGGUGAAAUCCUGGAGCUCAACUCCAGAACUGCCUUUGAUACUGAGGAUCUUGAGUACGGGAGAGGUGAGUGGAACUGCGAGUGUAGAGGUGAAAUUCGUAGAUAUUCGCAAGAACACCAGUGGCGAAGGCGGCUCACUGGCCCGUAACUGACGCUGAGGCACGAAAGCGUGGGGAGCAAACAGG